rnacentral:rRNA from 1 species
UGCCAGCAGCCGCGGUAAUACGUAGGUGUCGAGCGUUGUCCGGAUUUAUUGGGCGUAAAGCGCCCGCAGGCGGCUUGCCAAGUUCGAAGUGAAAUCUCCCGGCUUAACUGGGAGGGUGCUCCGAAAACUGGCAGGCUUGAGUCAUGGAGAGGGAUGUGGAAUUCCCGGUGUAGUGGUGAAAUGCGUAGAUAUCGGGAGGAACACCAGUGGCGAAGGCGGCAUCCUGGCCAUGUACUGACGCUCAGGGGCGAAAGCGUGGGGAGCAAACCGGAUUAGAUACCCGGGUAGUCCACGCCGUAAACGAUGAGUACUAGGUGUAGGGGGUAUCGACCCCCUCUGUGCCGAAGCUAACGCGAUAAGUACUCCGCCUGGGGACUACGGCCGCAAGGCUAAAACUCAAAGGAAUUGACGGGGGCCCGCACA